rnacentral:rRNA from 1 species
GACAGAGGCCUCAAGCGUUAGGCGGAAUCACUGGGCUUAAAGCGUGUGUAGGCGGAUCGUUAAGUGCCUUGUGAAAUCCCACGGCUUAACUGUGGAACGGCUGGGCAUACUGGCGGUCUUGAGCCAUCUAGGGGCGACUGGAACAAACGGUGGAGCGGUGAAAUGCGUAGAGAUCGGCAGGAACACCCAGGGGGAAACCAGUCGACUGGGCAUCUACUGACGCUGAGGUGCGAGAGCGUGGGGAGCGAACCGG